GGCCAGGUAGCGCAGAGGUCGUCGCACCUCGACCUCAUCGAGGGAGACGCUGGUUCGAAUCCAGCCCUGGCCU
rnacentral:tRNA from 2 species